ensembl:lncRNA
CUGAGAAGUAGUUCCGAGAGGCAAUCAGGCCCUGCAGAGGACCUCCUGCGAUAAUGGGUAGGCAGGCAGGAUCUCCUGGCCUACAUGUAGCUCAGGCUGAACUUGAGUAAACUAGGCAGACAGAGGGCACAGACAAGUCUGGAAGGACAUAGCAAGAGGAGGGGGCUAAGGCAAGUGGUUGACAAGGCCAGCAGGUCCUGUUAAAUCAAGCCAAACCUGACUCAGGGAUGAGUCAGAGGGCCUGAGCGUCAAUGUGUAUCGAGUUUAUAUUGUAAAGUUCCCCCUGCUGGCAUGAGCCUGCCCUACCAGGCAGGCCCUGGAGGGGUUGACCCUCAUGGCAGAGGACUAUUGGACUGACACUGAUCUAAAGUUGUUAGCUACCUCUUAGAUGUCAAUCCCAGCGUCUUUCCUCAGCUCCUCCAGCGCUGGGUCUCUUAGGCAAGCAUCAGUCACUGUCUGUCACUCCUCUUCAGUCGCUCCCCUCUCUAUGCAAACUGUUUCCAAUUUUCCUUCAGCUUUCCUGGUCAUUUUCUCCUUCCUUUCUUGCUCCCCCCUUCCCUCUCCCAACUCCUCUUUCCUCUUGAAAAAUUCAAUUCAUCUGCUGUCCUGCGGCUGCUUAUUUUGUGCUAAAUUCUAUAGCAAGAGCUGGGAGUAUAAAAGCCACGGCCCUGGCUUUUGAGGGGCUGAAGUUCAAAGAAAAACCAUCAGCGAAAGAACACGAUACAAUACGAGGAGCGCUGUCAUGACUUGGAUACCCGUGGUCUAAAGGAAGCACAGGGGGACGAAUGGCUGAUCUCGGCAUUGAUGGGGUGUUCCCAGAUCUGGUCCCACAUUCCCAACAGCCUUCUAGAAACUGCUACCAAAUGGAACUCAUCUGCUCUUCUUGGAGAAACGCCAUCCUCCUGUGUUCCUUCGGCCAUCCCAAGUAUCUUGUGACAUCAUUGAAGAGAGAACUCACACAGUGGUCUUCUACACAGGGGAUAAACCCUGAUCCUUGGCACUUCCCAGUUACACCGAUGAAAAUCCUCCCAUUACAACCAGUCUUCAACCUAAGCACGGCGUACUUGUCCGUGGACUUGAGAGAGACGUACAGGAGCCACCAUGUCUACCAGCUAACCCUCCUCGCAAGUUGCCACGCCUCCUGGCUGACUCAGCACAUCAUCUCCUGCCUUGAUGACCCACUGCCUCCAGGCUGGACCCUUUCUCAAAGAUUAUCUCUGACUCCAGAAUGAAGCAGAAAGAAUUCUUGGUUGGCCCACAAUGUCUUGAGUGAUCUGGCCUGAGAGUAUCUGGUUAUCUUUCCCUUUCACCCCCAACUUCAAUGCCUUUGACUCAGUGCCUCUGUGCCCCUGUGUAUGCUGGACACAUACACCAGGCUCCUGUCUCAUUUGUUCCAAACCUUUCCCCUAUCUCCUUCCCUCUGCUUUUCAUCCUCUCUGUGCUCUGGAUGUAUUUGCGUUAUCAAAGCUGUAAUGCUGAUGAAUUUAGGCAUCAGGGUCUCCUCGCUCAUCCUUGGAGAUGAGCUCCUUGUUGACAAGACCUGGCCUUUGUAUGUUGAGAUUCUAAUCCUGAUGCCUAGUGCCUAGGAAUUGUAUAGUCUCCAAAACUGGACAGAGCAUCUCUAAAGUACUGGAGGACAAUGAGGAGAUGGGACUGAACUGGGACAGCCGAGGGGUCCCAUUGUCUUCUGCAAGGAGGGGGAACAGGCCACUUUUUGCAACUGAAUAACUGCUUUUCAAAAAAGCCAGCAUCAGCCGGGCGUUGGUGGCGCACGUCUUUAAUCCCAACACUCAGGAAGCAGAGGCAGGCGGAUCUCUGUGAGUUCGAGGACAGCCUGGUCUCCAGAGCAAGUGCCAGGAUAGGCUUCAAAGCUACACAGAGAAACCCUGUCUUGAAAAAACAAAAAAAAAAAGAAGAAGCCAGCAUCAUAGAAAACCAAAUGUCCCACCAUGGACUUACAGCACGAACAGUGAGUUUUCCAAGGCCCAGACUGGACAUUAGUUUUAGUGGGAAAAGAAAGAAUCCCUGAUGAGUUUCAAGACAGAAGACUAGGGCUUGAGCCUGCCCUCUAGAAUGUAUUGAGAGUCUUAAUUUCCGACGAUAUUGGGUCAGGUUGGAUGCCACCAACACCCAGUUUCUGCAGCUUGGAGCCCAGGAAUGAAAAGUGUUGCUCACCUCCUCCUGGGGUUGCUCUGAGGUGAUGUGUAGAGGUGCCUUCACAGUGCUAAAGGGAUACCACACCCCUUUGCUCAGGGCUUGCCUGGCAAUGAGUAUUCCCUGAAGACGCCUCUUUUCGCCAUUGCCUUGCUUUUCUGCCAGAGUCGUCAAGCUUAGCACCAAGCAGCUGGAACCUUCCACUGAGAAGGGAGGCACCACUUAGACAUCCAGACAUGCAGUUUUUAAACACGGGGAAUAUGGAGGAAAUAUCACAGAACUUAUGUGAGGGAAAGCUUUAACAAGAAACACAGACUUAGGUCAAAACAGUUGACUCAGCUUUGGGAAAUGUCUGCCUCAGGGCAGGAGGGAAGAGAGAUAGACUCAGAAGGUGGAAACAAGAGAAAGGCUCAUUGGGGUAGCCCACUUGGUGAUCUCAGUGGACCUCUUCACACACAGUUCUAGGGAUUAGGGACAGGAAGUCAUGCUGCUUGAACAUAGGGUGACACUCCCCAGUAGUUUUUGCACCCAGCAAUCUCAUUUCUAAGAGCACAUUUGAAGUCAAGAAAGCUGAAAACAGCAUAAACACCAUUCAAUAGAGGAUUGGCUGGCUUAUUGACUCCCAACAUAUCCACACAGAGAAGAGCAAUGGUUGAUACCUUUCUUUGGAUAUGGAAGUGACCUACAUCACUGCAGAUAAAAUGGUAUGGAUGUAUGGAAUUUUUUUCCCACAUGAGAAAAUGUAUUGAUGCAUUGGGGGUUGUGCUUUAGUCUGUCAACAGAGUGUCUCUGCAUUGCUUCACAAACUUCAGAACUGUAAUAAAUCC